UACAGAGGUCUCAACCGUUGUUCGGAUUCAUUGGGCGUAAAGGGUGCGUAGGCGGUCGCGUAAGUCAGGUGUGAAAUCCCGGGGCUCAACCCCGGAACUGCACUUGAUACUGCGUGGCUAGGGUACUGGAGAGGAGACUGGAAUUUACGGUGUAGCAGUGAAAUGCGUAGAUAUCGUAAGGAAGACCAGUGGCGAAGGCGGGUCUCUGGACAGUUCCUGACGCUGAGGCACGAAGGCCAGGGGAGCAAACGGG
rnacentral:rRNA from 1 species